rnacentral:rRNA from 1 species
UAAGACGAGGGAUCCUAGCGUUGUUCGGAAUCAUUGGGCGUAAAGCGGGUGUAGGUGGCUAUGUAAGUCAGAUGUGAAAGCCUGGGGCUUAACCCCAGAAGUGCAUUUGAUACUGCGUAGCUUGAGUGCCGGAGAGGUUAGUAGAAUUGUUGGUGUAGUGGUGAAAUACGUAGAUAUCAACAGGAAUACCGGAGGCGAAGGCGGCUAACUGGCCGGACACUGACACUCAGACCCGAAAGUGCGGGGAUCAAACAGG